AUAAUCAGGCAACUGCAGAGUCUUAGGGGGUUAUCUAAUGUAGUCUUGGGGUGGCUGGAUAGACUUCCCAAAGAAGGUGAUGCCGAAGCUGAGGUCGGAAAUUACGAAGAUCAGCUAUCAAACUUGGAAAUCAUGUCUUAGAGAUCAAGGAGCCAAGAGAUGAGACAAGCCUGGGUUCCUAGGUGAUAGGGUGUGGCUGUGUCCCCACCCAAAUCUCGUCUUGAAUUGUAGCUCCCAUAAUCCCCACAUGUUGUGGAGGGACCCUGUGGAAGGUAAUUGAAUUAUGGAGGAAGGCCUGAGGAGAGAAGACACAUAGUCAUGCUGACUAAACCAGAUCACCUAGAAUUACCAAAUGGAAAGAUUGUGCCUGCAGCCUGGCCUGUUGCCCACAGCGGUCUACCUGCCACACUGGGAAAGAUCGAGCAGAGACAGAGAAGAAAAGGAGGCUCCAUUUUUCAGGCUGCUCUCCCGCAGGCUCAUGUUUUGUGUUCAUGCCAGGCAGAGAACACAAAAUGUUCCAAUAAAUAAGUAUCAAAGGUUAGUGGUGAAAAUGAAGGAGGAGGAGGCAUUGCGUGAAAAACUAAACAUGCAAAAUAUUACACACAAAGAGAACCAAAAUGCAGGUUCACUGGAAAUGAUAGACAAUAUGUUAAAACAAGAGGAGAGAAGAGAGCUGAAAUAAUCAAAUGGAAACACACAAUUUAGGGCUAAGAUCUUGUUGUGUUCAGCCACAAAUGAUGGCCAGCAGUGAGGAAUCUGUGUGUUCUCCACACUCUUCGCUCCUGGGAAGUCAACUCACAUGGACCAUGAUAUCAAUAUCUGCUCCUUCCCCUAAUAUCUGUUUGACCUUGGGUCAGUUACUUAAACUUCCUAAGCCUUAGUUUCUUUGUCUGGAAAAUAGGGAUAGUUAUA
rnacentral:lncRNA from 1 species